rnacentral:rRNA from 1 species
UACGGGGGGGGCAAGCGUUUGUUCGGAAUUACUGGGCGUAAAGGGCGCGUAGGCGGUUUGUUAAGUUGGAUGUGAAAACUGUGGGCUUAACCCAUAGCCUGCAUCCAAAACUAGCAGGCUAGAGUUCUGGAGGGGAUAGCGGAAUUCCUGGUGUAGCGGUGAAAUGCGUAGAUAUCAGGAGGAACACCGGUGGCGAAGGCGGCUAUCUGGACAGAGUCUGACGCUGAGGCGCGAAAGCUAGGGGAGCAAACAGG